rnacentral:lncRNA from 1 species
GUGCCCUCCGACGGAUCAAGCGAUUUGGCUGAUGAGGGAUCAGAUCAGCCGAGUUCGAAAAACUUUACUGUAGAACGAGUUUGGCUGAAUGAGCUAAAUGGAUGAAAUGAACAGUAGUUUGGGUCGGUUGAAGAGCCGAAUGCUUUUAUAUAUUGAAUUUAAAUUUAGAAAUUUGUACAAAAGAGAGUGUGCCUUCGGGGCAUACACACUCCGAAAAUCUAACUUAGAACUAUUCCUACGAAAAGCAGUAGAUGCGGAAAAGGAAAAUAUUACAAGUAAA